rnacentral:rRNA from 1 species
UACGUAGGGUGCGAGCGUUGUCCGGAAUUACUGGGCGUAAAGAGCUCGUAGGUGGUUUGUCGCGUUGUCCGUGAAAACUCACAACUCAAUUGUGGGCGUGCGGGCGAUACGGGCAGACUGGAGUACUGCAGGGGAGACUGGAAUUCCUGGUGUAGCGGUGGAAUGCGCAGAUAUCAGGAGGAACACCGGUGGCGAAGGCGGGUCUCUGGGCCGAUACUGACGCUGAGGAGCGAAAGCGUGGGGAGCAAACAGG